GAGGAAAAUAGAAAAAUUUUUAUUGCCUGAGUAGCGGCGAGCGAAACGGCAAGAGCCUAAACCAGUGCAUCUCACCAAGGUAAGUUGCGGAAAAUAGAAUCUAGUAACUAGAAUCUAGAAUGUGGAAGCUGAAUCUUUAAAAAUUCUUCUUUCAAUAUUCUAGUUUCUAAAUUCUAGCUUUUAACUUCUGCAUCGAACUUUAGUGAGAUGCAGUGGGGUUGCAAGGUAAGAACACUUUAGAGAUAUGAAAUAGGAUUGUCCCCCCUCCUUAAGUGGGGAGGGAUAUAGCAUCCUAUUUCGUGUUUCUAAAAAGAGGUAAAAAAUUCAUUGACUAGCAGAAUGGGCUGGAAGGCCCAACCAAAGAAGGUGAUAGUCCUGUACGCGAAAGUUAAUGAACCUCUGUUUUUAUUCUUAAGUACCUCGAGGCAAACAAACCUUGAGGGAAUCUGCCGGUACUAUCCGGCAAGGCUAAAUACACUUUGUGAUCGAUAGUGAACUAGUACCGCGAGGGAAAGGUGAAAAGCAGGCCGGGAGGCCGGUGAAAUAGUACCUGAAACCAUAUGCCUACAAGGACCUAGAGCCGUGCUUUGCACAGAAAUCCGAAGCACGAAAUCCGAAAUACGAAACAAAUUCAAAAUUAAAAAUUUCAAAACGUUUCGAAUUUCGAUAUUCGAAUUUCGAGUUUCCGCGCAGAGCGCGGUGAUAGGGUGCCUAUUGAAGAAUGAACCAACGAGUUAAUGUCAAUCGCAAGUCUAAGUCCGAUAAAUCGGACGAAGGCGAAGGGAAACCGAGUGUUAAUAGCGCGAAUGCCCGCAAGGGCAAUGCGGUUGGUGUUAGACCCGAAGCCAAGGCGAGCUUACCCUGUCCAGGAUGAACCCCGGGUAAAACUGGGGGGAGGUCCGAACUGGUGGGUUGUGCAAAACCCUCGGAUGAGGUGGGGUAAGAAGUGAAAAGCUAAUCGAGCUUGGUAAUAGCUGGUUCUCUCCGAAAUAGUUUUAGGACUAGCGAUUAGAGAUAUGCGUACGAGGGUAGAGCUACUGGUUCGAGACUAUAGGGCGAAAGCUCGAGUCUCGAGUCAAACUCCGAAUAUCGUACGUAAAAGUCUAAUUAGUCAGACUACGGGGGCUAAGCUCCGUGGUCGCGAGGGAUAAAGCCCAGAUCGUAGUCUAAGGUCCCCAAAUCUUUGCUAAGUGUUAAAGGUGGUCUUCAACCAUAGACAGAUAGGAGGUUGGCUUAGAGGUAGCCAUCCUUUAAAGAGUGUGUAACAACUCACUAUUCGACGGUUGGUGGCGCCGAAAAUGUACCGGGGCUAAGCAAAGUACCGAAGACACGGAUAUCUUGUGCGUAGCACAAGGAAAUUCGAAAUUCGAAUAUCGAAAUUCGAAACGGUUUGAAAUUUUUAAUUUUGAAUUUGUUUCGUAUUUCGGAUUUCGUGCUUCGGAUUUUCUCGCGCUGCGCGCGAGAUGUGGUAGGAGAGCAUUCUUAACUGCUGCGAAGGAGGACCCGUGAGGGCCUCUGGAGCGUUAAGAAGAGAGAAUGUUGGUAUGAGUAAUCACAAACCUAAUGAGAAAUUAGGUCCCCGAAAAUCCAAGGUUUCCGUGGCAAUGGCAAUCAUCCACGGGUUAGGCGAUCCUAAGGCAAUGGCGAGAGCCGCAGCUGAUGGGAAGCCGGUUAAUAUUCCGGCCCGCCUUUAGAUGUGCGAUGGAGUGACGGAUGAAAUAAGAUUGAGCGCCUUAAUGGUUUGGCGUCUCUGACGUUAAGCGUUGCUAUCCAGGAAAAUCCGGAUAGCUGGUUUUAAUACCGAAACGCGCGCGUUGGCGUAAGGUUAGGUUUUACCUGACUAAUUCAAUCGAAGAGCGUUCCAAGAAAAACUUCUAAGUUUAGUCUGAAGGCAUCGUACCGUAAACCGACACAGGUGGGUGAGGCGAGAAGCCUCAGGGGAACGAGUGACUUGCCGCUAAGGAACUCGGCAAAAAAGCGGCCGUAAGUUCGCAAUAAGGCCUGCCCGCGCAUCUCACUAAGGUGAGCUGCCGCGAAUUAAAAACUAAAAAUGAAAAAGGAAAAAUUAAGGAGUCGCUUCGCGACAUUAGAAUAAGUCCGAAGGACACCAAAGUUUUUAAUUUUUCGCUUUAACUUUUUAAUUUUGUAGCACCGAACUUUUGUGAGGUGCGUGGGCCGCAGCUAAAGUAUCUCUGGCGACUGUUUACCAAAAACACAGCUCCCUGCUAACUCGCAAGAGGAUGUAUAGGGGGUGACACUUGACCGAUGCGGGAAGGUUAACGGUGGGUGUGGUUUGUAGCAAUAUGAACUGCGUACUGCCCGAAGCCCCCGUCAAUGUCAGCGAUAACUAUAAUCGUUCUAAGGUAGCGCAAUUCCUUUUCGGGUAAGUGGAACUUGCCCCUUGGUUGAGUAAUUAGCCAUGAAACACUUGCUAUAUCGGUGAAGUCUAAAGCUCGACGAGACGCGAGCUAUGAUAAUACCGAGGGAACCCUAAUCAUAUUAGGGACUCCGUAGAGACUACACGCAAGUAUCCAAUUUUUGGAUAAAGAUAUAGUCCGAUCCUUUCCGAAAGGAAAGAUUCGUAGCAUUCGCAUAUCAUUUGUAGAUUUGCAUUAUGUGUGCGAAGCACGAUGAAGUUCCGAAGCGCACGAAUAGUGUAACGACUGGAGAACUGUCUCAGCGGCAAGCUCGAUGAAAAUGCGAUUCCAGUGAAGACGCUGGAUACCUGCAGCAAGACGAAAAGACCCUGGAAGCUUUACUGUAGUUUGGUAUUGGCUUUACGACUUGAAUGCGUAGCGUAGUGGCGAGCCUUUGAAGUUCCGCUUUUGGGCGGGAUGGAGGCGACAAUGAAACAGCCAUCUUUCAAGUUUUAAAGUCUAACCUCGACGGCAAAAACGUCGCGGGACAGUGCCUGAUGGGCAGUUUUAAUGGGGCGUUAUCCUCCUAAAAAGUAGCGGAGGAGUUUAUUAAGGUUGGCUUAGCCCGGAUGGAAAUCGGGCUGGACGUGUAAACGCAAAAGCCAGCUUAACGGCAAGACUGACAAGUCGCGCCGGUGCGAAAGCAGAAGUUAGUGACCCGACGGUUCUUUAUAGAAAGGCCGGAGACAACGGAUAAAAGUUACUCCAGGGAUAACAGG
rnacentral:rRNA from 1 species